rnacentral:rRNA from 1 species
CCUACGGGUGGCUGCAGUGAGGAAUCUUGGUCAAUGGGCGCUAGCCUGAACCAGCAACGUAGCGUGAAGGAUGACUGCCCUCUGGGUUGUAAACUUCUUUUAUAUGGGAAUAAAGUGCAGUAUGUAUACUGCUUAGCAUGUACCUUAUGCUUAAGGAUAGGCUAACUCCGUGCAAGCAGCCGCGGGAAUACGGAGGCUCCGAGCGUUAUCCGGAUUUAUUGGGUUUAAAGGGAGCGUAGGCGGGUUGUUAAGUCAGUUGUGAAAGUUUUCGGCUCAACCGUAAAAUUGCAGUUGAUACUGGCAACCUUGAGUACAGGAGAGGUAGGCGGAAUUCGUGGUGUAGCGGUGAAAUGCUUAGAUAUCACGAAGAACUCCGAUUGCGAAGGCAGCCUGCUGGACUGUAACUGACGCUGAUGCUCGAAAGUGUGGGUAGCAAACAGGAUUAGAUACCCGUGUAGUC